GUAUAACAAGACACAAAACAAAAAAAAUAAUCUCACAAUAUUUCACCCAAAAUAUUUGAGUGGAAACAAUUUUAUGGAAGAAAGUGAAAAAAGUGACAAUCAAAGAUUUAAAGCAAGGCGUUUAAGGUUUAUUGGAUAAAUCGAGCGACUCGCCAUUAUCCUAAUCAUAAACAUCAUCAUCAUUCUCAUCACCACCAUCAUGCAACUCUCAAGGCUUGGUUAACUUUUUCCUCCAAGAGGCGUGUUGAUUGAAUGAUUUUUUUUCCUCACAACUCGAACCAUAUAAGUUUAAGAGUCGAAGAUGAACAUAAACUUGUUCAUAGAUACCAAUAGAUACCAAAAAAUCUAAAAGUGGUUCUUCUAGUUACUCUCCCUUUGAACUCAAUUGAUUUCAAUCUGCCUCUCGUCCAACCUCUUACCGUCUGUUAUCUCUGUGGAAAAGGCAAAACUCAUCAAUCAGGAGUUUCAAUUUUCACUUGGAAAAUCAGUAUUUUUUGGGCGAAUAUUGGAAAUAUUCCUUUGAAAUUGCUUCCUUCUUACUAAUCUACAAAGGAUUCCUGGUGCACCAACUUUACCUGAACCAGAUUCCACAUUGUUUACUGUAAACAAUGAGAUACAAGCUUUUGUAAUUUUUGUAAUUACUUUGAUAUCAUUACAUCAUUACAUCAUUACAUCUUUACAUCUUUACUGUCUUGUACAUGUAAUAGUGAAAACUGCAUCAAAUGGAAGCAAGUUGGUUAAUUUUGGAAGCUAAAUUUAGAUCGAGGAAAGGCGCAAAAUUUUCUUACCCAACACCAUCAAUUGUGAAGGAAAGGCAAAAUCACAGGAAAUAUGGAUCUCACAAUGUUUAAAUAACAUUUUCCGCUAUUUUUGGUCCUCAAAUGAUCUUUUUUUCACCUUAUUAAAUUUACCGAGUUCACAUAUUGUACAGUUUAAAGAGACGACCUUUAAUUUAGUUUUUUUUUAUGGUUAAAGAAUGGUAGACAUUGUUAA